GGGUAAACGUACUAAGUCAAGAAUAACGCCAUGGUAAGGCGUAAAUCAUCGGUUUAAAUCCGAUAUAAGGGCU
rnacentral:tRNA from 1 species